GGGCCCGCACAAGCGGUGGAGUAUGUGGUUUAAUUCGACGCAACGCGCAGAACCUUACCCAGUCUUGACAUCCCUGGAACCCCAUAGAGAUAUGGUUUCCGCCCUAACAGGCGGUCAGGUGACAGGUGCUGCAUGGCUGUCGUCAGCUCGUGUCGUGAGAUGUUCGGUUAAGUCCGGUAACGAGCGCAACCCACGUCUUUAGUUGCCAGCAUUUAGUUGGGCACUCUAGAGAGACUGCCGGUGAUAAACCGGAGGAAGGUGUGGAUGACGUCAAGUCAUCAUGCCCCUUACAUCCUGGGCUACACACGUACUACAAUGCUACGGACAAAGGGCAGCAAGUUCGCGAGGACAAGCAAAUCCCAUAAACCGUGGCUCAGUUCAGAUCGUAGGCUGCAACUCGCCUACGUGAAGGAGGAAUCGCUAGUAAUCG
rnacentral:rRNA from 1 species